rnacentral:rRNA from 1 species
AAGCAAUUAUACCGUGAAACUGCGAAUGGCUCAUUAAAUCAGUUAUCGUUUAUUUGAUAGUACCUUACUACUUGGAUAACCGUGGUAAUUCUAGAGCUAAUACAUGCUGAAAACCCCGACUUACGAAGGGGUGUAUUUAUUAGAUAAAAAACCAACGCCCUUCGGGGCUUCUUGGUGAUUCAUGAUAACUUUACGGAUCGCAUGGCCUUGCGCCGGCGACGGUUCAUUCAAAUUUCUGCCCUAUCAACUUUCGAUGGUAAGGUAUUGGCUUACCAUGGUUUCAACGGGUAACGGGGAAUUAGGGUUCGAUUCCGGAGAGGGAGCCUGAGAAACGGCUACCACAUCCAAGGAAGGCAGCAGGCGCGCAAAUUACCCAAUCCCGACACGGGGAGGUAGUGACAAUAAAUACUGAUACAGGGCUCUUUUGGGUCUUGUAAUUGGAAUGAGUACAAUUUAAACCUCUUAACGAGGAACAAUUGGAGGGCAAGUCUGGUGCCAGCAGCCGCGGUAAUUCCAGCUCCAAUAGCGUAUAUUAAAGUUGUUGCAGUUAAAAAGCUCGUAGUUGAAACUUGGGCCUGGCUGGCAGGUCCGCCUCACCGCGUGUACUUGUCCGGCCGGGUCUUCCUUCUGGAGAACCUCAUGCCCUUCACUGGGCGUGUUGGGGACCAGGACUUUUACUUUGAAAAAAUUAGAGUGUUC